GGCCUCAUAGUGUAGUGGUAACAUGUUCUCUGCUACUUUUGUUCUUUGAGGUUUGCAUAAAAGAGGAAGUCCCUUGUUCGAAUCAAGGUGAGGCCA